AUAACCUCUUCUCGCCAUUUCCCCGUCCCUCCAGAGCCUGCUCCCCUCCCCCUCCUCCACCUUUAUUCGCACAAAUGAAUGUGGCUGGGCUGGCGCAGAGCCUGGCCCUGCAUCUUAAUGGGGCGGUGAGCUCACAAGAUGGAUUUAGCUGGGGGUUUUAUGGUUGCCGCGGCGACAGGAGAAUGCUUUGGUUUUCUUUCCCCCUUCCUCUGCAGGAUUUUAAGGAGGGGGCAGUUUGGGGAGUCCUCCUCUCCACUGCAAUUUAAGGGUCUCCUUCUCAGUCACCUCUACUGCUUAUGAACUGGGCCUGCAAUUCCAGGAUUAAGCAAGAGAGAUGGAAAGGAUGAGGGGAGGAAGGUCCAAGAAUGAGAAGAAGCCCUGCAGCACAGGACUUGCCUGCUUCCCGUUGGAAACCUGACAGUUAGGCUCAGCAAGUGGGGAGCACCUGGGUGCAGGAUUCCUCUCAGCACAUAGAAAAGAAGAAAGUUCAUGUUCCAUUACGUCACUCCUGCCUGUGGUCUUGCAUUGAAAGCUGGAGUGCAGCAGGCAGAAGGGCUAGGGUCAUUCUGUCUUUACCUGAGCUGUACAAAAAGCAGUGACCAGACUUAGCAUCCUAACCUGCCUUAUCACCCAGCUUGGUCCUUGGGUAGGGGAUGUGUCAGUGCUGGAGUUGGGGAUUGGUGACCAGCGAUGGUGUGGUGAGCUGAGUUCUAUCCAGUCUCAAACUUGGAAUUCUCUGAGCUUCAGUUUCUCUUGUCUUCUCUUUCCCAGUAGGAAUGAAACUUUGGGUGCCAGGCCUACCCAGGAUUCUGGUCAGCAAUUUUCUUUCAGGACUCUGAGCAAACCAUCCUCAGCACUGACUGGAGCAGAGACAGGGGAACAUUGCAUGAUCUCCCUUGCUUUUUUUUUUUGGUCUGGUUGUGGGCCUCUGAAUUUCUGUUUGUGAGCCUUUCCCUAUUUCCCAGGGGACCCCAAGAGGCCCCUCCCCCCCUCUCCUGCUUCUUCCCCUUUGGCUGGGAAAGUGACUACAGCCUGAACAGUGCCAGACACCUGCUUGCCAGAUGUGGCAAUUCCCCACUCCCCCCCCCCCCCCCCCCCAUGUCUAUCCUUUCCCCACCCCACUGAGCUCAGGCAGAGGGAGCACCCCCACAGAGUGAUUUACUGCAGCUUCUCUUCCUCAAGUGCCCCCCUCAGGCUCCUCUCCCUCCCCCUGGUACCCAUGUCCCCCUCAUUUCCCACCAUUUCCUGCAGCCACCUUCCUGGUACAGCCUCUUCCCACUCCCACUG
rnacentral:lncRNA from 1 species